CACCGUGCGCUGCGGCACAGGGCGGGAUGCGGCACAGCACAGGCACUGCCAUGGCCGCUGCCAGGCCACUGGUGGCUGCGUGGGAGCCGUGUGCGCAUUUCGCCCGAGGGAAGGCAAAAGCCCUCCUGUGCCCCGUGGCCCCGGCUGCCCUCGGAGGAGCUCUUCGGGGGGCUCGGCUGACGGCAGAGCGUCCCCAGCUGCCGGCUCUCCCCAUCGCCCUCCUCGGGGACAGUCCCUCUGACUGCACGGGGAGCGCGAAAACCUGCCGGAAAGCAAGGAGAAGGCGUGGGAGCCACCGGCCAGCGUUGCCAAAGACCAUCUCGACGUUCUCGUGCCAUGAGUGGGACAAGUGACCUUUUCCGCCCCGCCUGCGCCCGCGCCGAGCGGCUGGGCACUGGGGGAGCUGCCGGGCGCUGGCAGCCUUUAUUUCGGCGCAACUUGAAAUACUUCGCUCCGUAUUAGAGAAAGCGUUUCAGAAAAACCUGUAGAAGUUUUCUCUGGGGAGCUGCUGGGCUUCACGGGGAAGAAAUAGUUGCUGCGGGCUUGACAUUUGGUGGAGAACGGAGGCUUUGCGUUAAUUUAUUGUGCAGAGGCGGGACGCGGCGUCCACCUUAGUGAAAGUCAAAGGCACGGAGCGUUUGCCUGUUAUUUCCAAAUACUCUUAAGCUUUUCCACUAAACUCUGUGGCUGCUGUAGGCGAUGGAAGGCACCUCAGGCAGGACGACUCCUGCUCCUGCAGCAGCUCCCGUCGGAUGGCAUUCGUGGGAGCGAGACCAGAUCACUUGGUUGUUGGUGGGACCCCGGCGUGGAGGCGCCAAAGGAGGUGUCUCCUCUCUAUGGAAAGGCCAGACCUGCAAGUUCGCUGAAACCCUACCCUUGCUACCCAGAGUUACAGCACAUGUGGUUAUCCAUCGUGCACUGGAUGGGCCAGGCUUCGCUUUUACGGCUGGAAAUCUCUCAGAAUUUCUGGUGAGUCACCUCUUGGCAUCUGACACGUCGUCACCCGGGGUGCCGGGAACAGCAGUGCCCUGCCGUUA